rnacentral:lncRNA from 1 species
GUGGGUUAUCUUUUCUUUUACUUGAAAAUUUGUGAAGUGUAUUCCAAAAUGCUUUUUAACAGAAACGUUUUAUUUUUUGUGGUUUGAAUGCUUGUAUCACGUCGAAAAAUCUUUAAAGAAACAUGUGUAUCGAUUCCAAACCACAUUUCAGUGGAGAUAACUCUUGGUCGCUUAGAAGUGGCUGAAAAGUAAAAAUCGUUGUCUCCCUUAAAAUUGAUCUCGUGCACUUGAAAUUACAAUGUGUGUUAGUAGCUGGUAAAAAUUAGGACACAACUGAUGCAACAAAUUGAUUUCAAGUCUUUUUUGGAAUAAUUAAAAUAAUAUAACAUAUCACAGAAAAUGAAAUAGAGGUGCAUGACAUCUUGCACACGAGACGAAGGC